rnacentral:lncRNA from 1 species
UCCUUAUCGAGAUUAACCAAUAUAUUGGUCAACUUGUGUCCAGUUAGGAUGGUUUUCCGGUAACCAAUCACAUUGGUUGAUUCAACCUUAUCAACCAAUCCAUAUUGCAUGGUUGCUAGCGGUUGGACCAAAUCUACUAUUUUUGGGUGUGAGAUAUCCAGUGUUCCAGCUUCUCACAGGAAUUCCAAAGAGAAAUAGAAAAUAAAUGUGUAAAAAAAUCUUUGUCAAUAAUAAGAGAUUUGAUUGCAAAAAAGGAAUUGAAAUUCCAAUCCUGUUUGUCAAAGAUGUCAAACAUUUAAUUUACUGCAUUUACAAUAGAAUGACCCUCAAUAAAAGUGGAAUGUCCCCUAGCCACGCAUGCGAUUUCAAACUGCUACUCGAUCCUUGCUCCAUGCUUCGACAAUCCGCUGCUUGCUUGUCUCUCUGUUUCAGAUUGAUGAGGACUUCCGGCUUCUCUUCAAGGAGCAGGCAAUUUCAACGCAAAGUGGGAGAUGGUGGCACCAAAGUUUUUGAAACAAAAACAGCUAGACCGUUGCGAUGACACAGCUGUGCGCCUUGUAGCAGCUCUAGCUGAAUCUUGUUCCUGGUCAAGACGAUGAUGAAGAGGAUGCUGACUACUACCCAGCCCUGGAGGACAUACAUGUAGCUGCAACACAGUGCUUGUCAAACUGCCGAUGCUACACAAGAACAGUGUCUACUGCGAAGGUGAAAAGUGGAAGCCAAGCAUACGGCCACAAGUGUGGAACAGACCUUGCCAGCUUUACCCAGAGGAGGGACAAGGAUUCGAGGAAUGCACUGAGAGGGGAGUAACUCUCAAGACAUACCAGUGCACCAUUUCUUCAGUUCGUUAAUGAGGUGACAGUAGCAAAGUUGUUUUGAGAUAAGCAUUUAUGGUUUUAAAGUUUUUAAAUAACAUAUUUAAGGUUUUCUGAAAAUUUGGGAAGUUCAUUUUUCUCAUUAAAGUGAUGCCAAAAAAUAUAUUUUGUGAAAAGUGACGCAAUAACAUUUGGAAAGCAACUUAACUUUUUUCAAUAGCUUGUACUUAUCUAGUAAAUAAUUAAGUUGCUCCCUUUCGAGAUGAAUCAAAACAAUUUAUACUAAGUUUUUAAAAAUCUACUUUCAAGAUUAGGCAAUACAUGUAGUUAAUGAGAUUUAUAAUGAAUUACAAGACAAUGCAGCAAGUCUAUCUGCCAAAUUGUCAAUUUGAAGAAAUCAAAUGCUGAACUUAAAGUACAAAUCUUAAAUAUCAUCGAACUUCCAUACUAAAAGUUAAAUUUUACAUAAUCCAAGGAAGAGGGUGACUAAAAUAUAAUAUCCACUUAUUAAGCAUGUUUCAUGCAUGGCCAGGUCGUUUGGUUUUUGUUUGUCUUUUGUUUAAAACACAGCACCAAUUCAAUCUGCAACAGCAGUGAUGCUCUAGAUGCUUGCAUCCGUUUUAAAUUCAAAAUUGUAAUCCUGUUCCUUGAUAUUAAAUUCUCACUCCAAUUCAGAGAGCAAUGAUAUUUCAUCUUAAAUAUGAAUCAAUUCAACUCGUAAACUCUCAACUUUAUUAUAAUUCAGAAUGUGAAUCUAGUCGCUGUGUCUAUUGUAAAUGUACGUACUGAUAUUCUUUGAAAUAAAACCUACAUGCAGAGAAUAAAUCCCAGCAAUUUUGUUGGUUUAUUAAAUGUUUUUGUUUUGUAAACAAAUUAAACCACUUGGCAACUUUAACCAAUAAGAUUGGUAACUCCAAACAAUGUAAUUGGUCAAACUUAACCAAUAAUAGUGGUCAUUCCAAACAAUG